rnacentral:rRNA from 1 species
UAGUCCACGCCGUAAACGAUGGACACUAGUUGUUGGGAUUUAUUUCAGUGACUAAGCGAAAGUGAUAAGUGUCCCACCUGGGGAGUACGAUCGCAAGAUUGAAACUCAAAGGAAUUGACGGGGGCCCGCACAAGCGGUGGAGCAUGUGGUUUAAUUCGAUGAUACGCGAGGAACCUUACCAGGGCUUAAAUGUUAUUUGACAGGUCUAGAGAUAGAUUUUUCUUCGGACAGAUAGCAAGGUGCUGCAUGGUUGUCGUCAGCUCGUGCCGUGAGGUGUCAGGUUAAGUCCUAUAACGAGCGCAACCCCUAUCGUUAGUUGCUAGCAGGUAAAGCUGAGGACUCUAGCGAGACUGCCGGUGCAAACCGUGAGGAAGGUGGGGAUGACGUCAAAUCAUCACGGCCCUUAUGUCCUGGGCUACACACGUGCUACAAUGGUAUAUACAAUGAGCAGCCACUACGCGAGUAGGAGCGAAUCUAUAAAGUAUAUCAC